rnacentral:rRNA from 1 species
UACGGAAGGGGCUAGCGUCGUUCGGAAUUACUGGGCGUAAAGCGCGCGUAGGCGGCUUGGCGAGUGAGGCGUGAAAGUCCUGGGCUCAACCUGGGGACGGCGUUUCAGACUGCCUGGCUUGAGUCCGGAAGAGGGUGGUGGAAUUCCGAGUGUAGAGGUGAAAUUCGUAGAUAUUCGGAGGAACACCGGUGGCGAAGGCGGCCACCUGGUCCGGAACUGACGCUGAAGUGCAAAAGCGUGGGGAGCAAACAGG